rnacentral:rRNA from 1 species
UCAAGCAAGAUAGGGCACAGGGCGGAUGCCUUGGCACUGAGAGCCGACGAAAGACGUGAUAAGCUGCGAAAAGCCGCGGGGAGGAGCAAAUAUCCAUUGAGCCGCGGAUGUCUGAAUGGGGGAACCCGGCAGGAAGAACUCCUGUCAUCAUGCACUGAAUCCAUAGGUGUAUGAAGGGAACCCGGGGAACUGAAACAUCUAAGUACCCGGAGGAAGAGAAAGAAACAUCGAUUUCCUGAGUAGCGGCGAGCGAAAGGGAAAGAGCCCAAACCGGUGUGCGUGCACACCGGGGUUACGGACUGUCGAAAGUGAGCUGGAAGUUAGCCGAACGGUUUUGGGAAAGCCGGCCAGAGAGGGUGAAAGCCCCUUAGGCGAAAACGGAAGGCAGCGGACAGGAUCCAGAGUACCACGAGACACGAGAAACCUUGUGGGAAGUCGGAGGGACCACCCUCCAAGGCUAAAUACUACUCAGUGACCGAUAGCGCAUAGUACUGUGAAGGAAAGGUGAAAAGGACCCCGGGAGGGGAGUGAAAGAGCACCUGAAACCCUGUGUCUGCAAGCUGUGGGAGGACGUUAAGGUCCGACCGCGUACUUUUUGUAGAACGGUCCGGCGAGCUGCCACAUCCGGCGAGGUUAAGCACUUAAGGUGCGGAGCCGGAGGGAAACCGAGUCUUAACAGGGCGUUAAGUCGGAUGGGGCAGGCCCGAAACCGGGUGAUCUAUCCAUGUCCAGGAUGAAGCUGUCGUAAAAGACAAUGGAGGUCCGAACACACAUCCGUUGAAAAGGGUGGUGAUGAGGUGUGGAUAGGGGAGAAAUUCCAAUCGAACCCGGAGAUAGCUGGUUCUCCUCGAAAUAGCUUUAGGGCUAGCCUCUUAAAAGAGUAACGGAGGUAGAGCACUGAAUAGCCUAGGGGGCGUCAAAGCCUACCGAAGCUUAUCAAACUCCGAAUGCCGUAUACUUGAUUUAAGGGAGUCAGACUGCACGAGAUAAGUUGGGCAGUCAAAAGGGAAAGAGCCCAGACCGCCAGCUAAGGCCCCAAAAUGCAUGUUAAGUGGAAAAGGAUGUGGGAUCUCAAAGACAACUAGGAUGUUGGCUCAGAAGCAGCCAUUCAUUCAAAGAGUGCGUAAUAGCUCACUAGUCGAGAGGUCCUGCGCCGAAAAUGUCCGGGGCUGAAACAUGCUGCCGAAGCUGCGGAACCGCAAGGUUGGUAGAGGAGCAUUGAAUGCGGGAAGAAGCUGUACCGAAAGGAGCAGUGGACUGCAUUGAAGAGAGAAUGCCGGAAUGAGUAGCGAGAAAUAGGUGAGAAUCCUAUUGGCCGAAUAUCCAAGGAUUCCAGGGUAAAGCUGAUCUGCCCUGGGUAAGUCGGGGCCUAAGGCGAGGUCGGAAGACGUAGCCGAUGGACAACAGGUGGAGAUUCCUGUACUGCAUAUGGUCAGAACUGUGGGGACACGGGGUGUUAACGGAAGCCGGGAAAGGAAAGACCGGUCCAAGCACAGGAGGCGUUGCGCAGGCAAAUCCGCGCAAUAAGCCAAAGGUGUGACGGGGAGCGAAAUUAUAGUAGCGAAGUCCGGAUACAUGCUGUCAAGAAAAGCCGCUAUUGCGCCAUAUGUACCCGUACCGUAAACCGACACAGGUGGAUGAGGAGAGAAUCCUAAGGCCGGCGGGAGAAGUGUUGUUAAGGAACUCGGCAAAAUGGCCCCGUAACUUCGGGAGAAGGGGCGCCCAGAAAUGGGCCGCAGAGAAAAGGCUCAAGCAACUGUUUAGCAAAAACACAGGUCUAUGCGAAACCGAAAGGUGAGGUAUAUGGGCUGACGCCUGCCCGGUGCUGGAAGGUUAAGGGGAGAGGUUAGCCGCAAGGCGAAGCUUUGAACUUAAGCCCCAGUAAACGGCGGCCGUAACUAUAACGGUCCUAAGGUAGCGAAAUUCCUUGUCGGGUAAGUUCCGACCCGCACGAAAGGCGUAAUGAUUUGAGCACUGUCUCGACAACACACCCGGUGAAAUUGAAAUACCAGUGAAGAUGCUGGUUACCUGCGCCAGGACGGAAAGACCCCAUGGAGCUUUACUC